rnacentral:rRNA from 1 species
CCUACGGUGCGCAGCAGUGAGGAAUAUUGGUCAAUGGGCUAAGGCCUGAACCAGCAACGCCGCGUGCAGGAAGAAGGCUUUCGGGUUGUAAACUUCUUUUCUCAGGGACGAAGCAAGUGACGGUACCUGAGGACUAAGCCACGGCUAACUACGUGCCAGCAGCCGCGGUAAUACGUAGGUGGCAAGCGUUAUCCGGAUUUACUGGGUGUAAAGGGCGUGUAGGCGGGACUGCAAGUCAGAAGUGAAAACCAUGGGCUCAACCUAUGGCCUGCAUUUGAAACUGUAGUGCUUGAGUACUGGAGAGGCAGACGGAAUUCCGAGUGUAGCGGUGAAAUGCGUAGAUAUUAGGAGGAACACCAGUGGCGAAGGCGGUCUGCUGGACAGCAACUGACGCUGAGGCGCGAAAGCGUGGGGAGCAAACAGGAUUAGAUACCCUUGUAGUC